UUUCCGUAGGUGAACCUGCGGAAGGAUCAUUACUGAGUGAGGGCCCCUCGGGGUCCAACCUCCCACCCGUGUUUAACGAACCUUGUUGCUUCGGCGGGCCCGCCUCACGGCCGCCGGGGGGCAUUUGCCCCCGGGCCCGCGCCCGCCGAAGCCACCUGUGAACGCUGUCUGAAGUUUGCAGUCUGAGACAAUUAUUAAAUUAAUUAAAACUUUCAACAACGGAUCUCUUGGUUCCG
rnacentral:misc_RNA from 1 species